CGUCUUUCUUGCAAGGCAAAUCCGACUAGAUUGUUUAGAUCCGGCUGGUACGUGUUGGUAACAAUCCUGCGUGUUCAUCUAGUAAGUGCCCUGCUCUCUAUCCCUCAUUGCUACAAUUCAUGGUGUUCAUCUAGGAAGUGCCCUGGUACGUGGUGGUAGAUUGUCAAGAUCCGGCUGGUACGUGGUGGUAACAAUCCUGCGUGUUCAUCUACAGAUGUGUCUCCGACAAGAAUUAACGUUGUUGAAUCUAAUGAGGACUAUAUGACAGAAGAACUAAUCGAACAUCGUAAUUCUGUUGAAAAAGAUGUCGAAUCAUCUGAUGUCUAAGAAAUAACUACUAAUGAUAAAGAAGGUUUCACAUAUUGUGAUAAUGCUGAUGUAGAUGAAAAUGAAGAUGUGCACGGCAAUUUGAAAAAGGUUCUGCUGCACACAAGAACCAAGAAACUUUUGAUUAGAAUUUUAGUACACGGCAAGGGAAAAUAAAUGCUGCUGCACACAAGGAACUAAAGUAUUCUUGAAGAGCCUGAAAAAUCAUAACUAGCACAUAGCUCUUGGUACAAGUGAUCCUAAAUUUAAACUUGAUGGUGCUGAAAUUAGAAAUGGAUUCCGGGAUGUGCAUGUCGAUAUGGCACUUGUGAAAACUGAAAAUUUGGUACGGAGUUGAAAAAACUGCAAUACUCUCGAUUCAAAAGAAAAUGGAUGACUCUAUGGUGUGUGAAAAGUAUACUGCAAUGAUGAUGUUGAUGUUCCGGUUCAUGAUGAUGAUGAUGAUGAUGAUGAUGGAUGCUUUCAGUUUUAGUUAAGUUGUAGUGAUGGCGUAUAUUGGAUAUUGUUCCUCCUUGAUUUUUAGUUAAGUUGUAGGGAAGUUGAUUGAUGCUUUCAAUGUAAGUUUUGUUGUCAAGAAAAUAGUCAGAUUAUGCAUCACACUUGGAUGAUGUUCCUCCUGU